rnacentral:rRNA from 1 species
AUUGAACGCUGGCGGCAGGCCUAACACAUGCAAGUCGAGGGGUAGAGGCUUUCGGGCCUUGAGACCGGCGCACGGGUGCGUAACGCGUAUGCAAUCUGCCUUGUACUGAGGGAUAGCCCAGAGAAAUUUGGAUUAACACCUCAUAGUAUUUUAGUGUGGCAUCACAUUAUUAUUAAAGGUUACGGUACAAGAUGAGCAUGCUUCCCAUUAGCUAGUUGGUAUGGUAACGGCAUACCAAGGCUACGAUGGGUAGGGGUCCUGAGAGGGAGAUCCGCCACACUGGUACUGAGACACGGACCAGAGUCCUACGGGAGGCAGCAGGGAGGAAUAUUGGUCAAUGGUCGCAAGACUGAACCAGCCAUGCCGCGUGCAGGACGAAGCAUCUAUGGUGUGUAAACUGCUUUUGUACGGGAAGAAACACCGCUACGUGUAGCGGCUUGACGGUACCGUAAGAAUAAGGAUCGGCUAACUCCGUGCCAGCCGCCGCCGUAAGAC